rnacentral:rRNA from 1 species
CACAWGACUCUCGGCAACGGAUAUCUCGGCUCUCGCAUCGAUGAAGAACGUAGCAAAAUGCGAUACCUGGUGUGAAUUGCAGAAUCCCGUGAACCAUCGAGUUUUUGAACGCAAGUUGCGCCCGAGGCCUYKUGGUCGAGGGCACGUCUGCCUGGGCGUCACGC